CGCUGCUGCACACACACUAAUGGGCAUAGCGCUUGUUCCGGUUGAUUUCAGCUGGCGGGCUAACCAACUCCAAGUUUGCUGAAACAUACUAGCUACAGAAUUGAAUCGUUUAUCAUAAUAAUAAUAAAAAAAAAAAGAAAAAUAAAGAGAAGAGGAAACACUGUUAUGUACCAGUAACACUGAGAGGGAGAGUGAGAGCGCACAUUUUGGUGAUGGGAGUUAUUUUAACGACCCUCGGGAGCUGACAGUGAUGCUAGCUAAGCUUAUCUCUGCGAGCCGGGGCUGCCUGCAAAGAAAAAGUCACCAGACUGAGCCAACAGCUUGUUUCAGAGUGGCCUGUCUUGAGGGCUUACUGCUGGUGUUGCUUCAGGCUGAAAACAAAACAAAGGAAAGAAUUUGUUAGUCUUGUUUUUGUCCCUGACACUGGCUCUUUAACCAGAGGGGACAUCAAGCCCACUGGCAAGACAGAUGACCCUGGUCCAAUUACAGCAUCCAGUCUGGAGUGACUGUGUGGAGUCUGCAGUGUUUCAGAUGACCUGCAGUUGACUGUGUCUGAAGCAGAUGCUCCGCAUAGAUGAGGAGAGCUGGCAGAUAGAGGCAUCCAGCUGUUUAAAGAAGAGAGAAAUCUGUUGUUGUUUUAUGAUGACACGUUCCUAAUGCCAAAAAUCGCACGCUCUCACACACAAACGCACACACACAAAAGUAGACACAAACAGAUGUGGACACACACACACACACACACACACACACACACACACACACACGCACAGAGUAUUCAUGGAUGUUUCUUCGGUGAAAGCUAAUCCCCUGCCGCUGUCAGCCAUGCUUUCGUCUCCUAAGGAAAGCUCCUUACACAAGCCAAAGCUCAUCCUGAGUGUGGAAGAACACACAAAACACAAAAAUACAUAUGAGAAAACACACACAUACACAUACACACUCAAAGUUAGGGUAGAUGAUCUUACGUCACUUUGGCAAAGCUUUGUCCACCCUGUAAACAACCCAGAGAUAUGAACGGUACAAUCUCCAUACCCUGUUUUCCAAAAGUAGUUACACACAUUUCUACGUUUACACACAUCCACGCACAUAUACACAUAGCUAUGCACAAAUAUAAAACAUAGUUGUGCAGCUCAGCACUCCAUAAUCAGACCACUUGUUCUUAAAGGGAGUAAAGUUGGUAAAAACUUUUGUACUCAUGCAUGUGCGCACACACGCACAAACACAGCCCUCAUUCAAUGCCCUCUUAUUCAAUGCCCUUUUAUAAACUUGUAAUGCCUUAGAGGUUGUCUACUCAUGUUUG